CGUAGGUGGCAAGCGUUGUCCGGAUUUACUGGGCGUAAAGCGCGUGUAGGUGGUUUGGAAAGUCAGGGGUGAAAUCUUGCGGCUCAACUGCAAGAGGUCCUUGGAUACUUCCAGACUUGAGGGAGGCAGAGGAAGGUGGAAUUCCCGGUGUAGUGGUGAAAUGCGUAGAUAUCGGGAGGAACACCAGUGGCGAAGGCGGCCUUCUGGGCCUUUCCUGACGCUGAGGCGCGAAAGCGUGGGUAGCAAACCGGAUUAGAUACCCGGGUAGUCCACGCCCUAAACGAUGAGCACUAGGUGUGGGGGGUAUCGACCCCCUCCGUGCCGAAGCUAACGCGAUAAGUGCUCCGCCUGGGGACUACGGCCGCAAGGCUA
rnacentral:rRNA from 1 species